UGCCCAGCAACUCCUAUCCCUACCUCCUCGCGGUACUGGCCGGGGUACGAGUAACCUUAGUGAAGAUCGGGUAACCAACCCCCGGUGGGAACUUUGGUCGUAUGCUGACAGGGAAGG
rnacentral:ribozyme from 1 species